UUUAAAUGGCCGCAGUACCUUGACUGUGCUAAGGUAGCAUAAUCAAUUGGCUUCUAAUUAAAGUCUGGAAUGAAAGGAAAUAUGAAGUAAUUCUAUCUUAAAGGAUUUUUUUUGAAUUUAUUUAAAUGAUGAAAAUAUCAUUUUAUAGAAAAAAGACGAGAAGACCCUUAGAGUUUUGAUAUUUAUAUAUUUUUGUUGGGGCGACAGGUAAACAUAUAACUUUACGAAUUAUUAUUGAUCGAUUUUUUAUAAGAAUAAUAAAACUACCUUAGGGAUAACAGCAUUAUAUUUUUUUAUGAUUGUGACCUC
rnacentral:rRNA from 1 species